CGGGCGCGCCUGAGCCCCGCGGCGCCUCCAGGCCGUGGGAGGGAACCGACGAGCCGGGCUCGGCCUGGGCCUGGCCGGGCUUCCAGCGCCUGCAGGAGCAGCUCAGGGCGGCCGGUGCCCUCUCCAAGCGGUACUGGACGCUCUUCAGCUGCCAGGUGUGGCCCGACGACUGUGACGAGGACGAGGAGGCAGCCGCGGGGCCCCUGGGCUGGCGCCUUCCUCUGUUGGGCCAGCGGUACCUGGAUCUCCUGACCACGUGGUACUGCAGCUUCAAAGACUGCUGCCCCAGAGGGGAUUGCAGAAUCUCCAACAACUUUACAGGAGCAGCUGAUGGGCCAGAUCCGGGAGACGCAGCAGCUCUGCCACCAGACCCUGUUCAUCUUCGAUGAAGCGGAGAAGCUGCACCCAGGGCUGCUGGAGGUCCUUGGGCCACACUUAGAACACCGGGCCCCUGAGGGCCACAGGGCUGAGUCUCCAUGGACUAUCUUUCUGUUUCUCAGCACCUUAUAGAAUGGAGAAGGCCCUGGAGUCCGUGCCCCUGGGACGGGGUGAGGGAGUAUCACUCUGUGGGGUUUUACAGCACCCUGGAUCCUGCCUUCCAGCCCCUGCCAAGUAAUCUCAGGGGCGAUAUAAUCAAUGAGGUGGUCCUAAAGUUG
rnacentral:sRNA from 1 species